CACAAGCGGUGGAGUAUGUGGUUUAAUUCGAUGCAACGCGAAGAACCUUACCUGGUCUUGACAUCCCGGAGACCCUUAGGAAACUAGGGGUGCUUCCAUCUGGAAGAAUCUGGAGACAGGUGCUGCAUGGCUGUCGUCAGCUCGUGUCGUGAGAUGUUGGGUUAAGUCCCGCAACGAGCGCAACCCUUGCCUUUAGUUGCCAGCAGUUCGGCUGGGCACUCUAAAGGGACUGCCGGUGUUAAACCGGAGGAAGGUGGGGAUGACGUCAAGUCCUCAUGGCCUUUAUGACCAGGGCUACACACGUACUACAAUGGCCGAUACAAAGGGCAGCGACACUGCGAGGUGAAGCCAAUCCCGUAAAAUCGGUCUCAGUCCGGAUUGGAGUCUGCAACUCGACUCCAUGAAGUUGGAAUCGCUAGUAAUCGUGGAUCAGCAUGCCACGGUAAAUACGUUCCCGGGCCUU
rnacentral:rRNA from 1 species